rnacentral:rRNA from 1 species
UACGUAGGGGGCUAGCGUUAUCCGGAAUUACUGGGCGUAAAGGGCGCGUAGGUGGUUUCUUAAGUCAGAGGUGAAAGGCUACGGCUCAACCGUAGUAAGCUUUUGGAACUGUAGGACUUGAGUGCAGGAGAGGAGAGUGGAAUUCCUAGUGUAGCGGUGAAAUGCGUAGAUAUUAGGAGGAACACCAGUUGCGAAGGCGGCUCUCUGGACUUUAACUGACACUGAGGCACGAAAGCGUGGGGAGCAAACAGGAUUAGAUACCCUGGUAGUCCCUGAG